rnacentral:rRNA from 1 species
GACGAACGCUGGCGGCGCGCUUAACACAUGCAAGUCGAGCGGUAAGGCCCUUUCGGGGGUACACGAGCGGCGAACGGGUGAGUAACACGUGGGUGACCUGCCCUCAGCUCUGGGAUAAGCCUGGGAAACUGGGUCUAAUACCGGAUAUGACUCCAUGACGCAUGUUGUGGGGUGGAAAGCCUUGUGCGGCUGAGGAUGGGCCCGCGGCCUAUCAGCUUGUUGGUGGGGUGANGGCCUACCAAGGCGACGACGGGUAGCCGGCCUGAGAGGGCGACCGGCCACACUGGGACUGAGACACGGCCCAGACUCCUACGGGAGGCAGCAGUGGGGAAUCUUGCGCAAUGGGCGAAAGCCUGACGCAGCGACGCCGCGUGAGGGAUGAC